rnacentral:lncRNA from 10 species
CUGGCAUGAGGAGAACUUGCACAGCUUCAUUCCAGCUAUCUGGGGAGGCCUGAGGGUUUGACCCAUGCCUUUUCUGUGUUUUGGUUUCUUCCUAUUUAAAGUGGGAAUUAAUGAAAACAGAAUCUUUUUGCUUUGCCACAGUGAUGUCAGGACAAAUGUACCACGAGUGCCUGAGAGUCCAGUCUUCCCCAAGAAGAGACAAGCACGAAGAUCCUAGGAGGAAGCACGCUGACGGGGACUAGUCACGGCCACGACACCUCUAGUGUCAGGGCAGCCCUGUGGCCCCUCGAGCUGCUGUGUAACCAGCUCCUCUGGGAAAGCACAAGCCCUUGGAAUGCUCUCCAGCUCCCUUGUGAGUAAUUUUCGAGAAGAACACAACUUUGCCAAGAACAUCCCGCAAUCUGGGUGUCUUGUCUUUGAAGACUUUGGAAAAUUUGGAUGACGUGCCUAGCGCCAUAAUUUAUACUUCAGUAGGCCGGUCUUCAUCAAUGCAAUGGAAUCAUCCAUGUGUGGCUCCCGAGGAAAGAAGGUGUGGUUUACUGCCAGGUGCUCUUCAGAGCUGAGUCCCUCUAACAGCAGGCCUGUUAAGGCGUGGCUGCGGCCUGAACCCUCCGGCUGAGCCUUUGCCUCCCAGGUUCCUGGACAUCCUCCACUCACUCCUCUGUUUGUGGGACCCUGCCUGGCCUGUCUGAUCCUCCUUGAGAUUUUGGCCCACAUAUAUCAAUUUCUCUCUGCCCCCAUGCAGUGGUAGUCACCGUUCUGUCCCCCGCGGGUGCUGGUGAGAAAGGUAAAAGGGCGGUUCCAGAGCCUGAGGGCCUGUGAGUGCAGUUUACAUAACUGCCGAAACUUAAGGAAGCGUCUAAAUAAAAAGAAACAUGUUAACCCAAAAUGGUUUAUUUGUUUUUUUUUUUUUUUUGGUUUCCAGAGCUCAUGCAAACAUGCAAAAAAUAGAGUAAGAAAAAAGCAAUUCUUCUCACAAAACAAG